UACGUAGGGGGCAAGCGUUGUCCGGAUUUAUUGGGCGUAAAGAGCUCGUAGGCGGCCGUCCACGUCGGAUGUGAAAGCUCGGGGCUCAACCCUGAGAGGCCAUUCGAUACGGGACGGCUAGAGGCAGGUAGGGGAAAGUGGAACUCCUGGUGUAGCGGUGAAAUGCGCAGAUAUCAGGAAGAACAACGGUGGCGAAGGCGGCUUUCUGGGCCUUGCCUGACGCUGAGGAGCGAAAGCUGGGGGAGCGAACAGG
rnacentral:rRNA from 1 species